GCAGCAUGGCUGUGGGACAAGGGGCAAGACACAAGCAGACAAAUAAGACCAACUCAGCACACUUGAUUAGGCUGUGGUUUAAUAAAACAAAGCAACCACAACUAACCUGCACCAAACCUCUGAGAGACAGCAAAGUCCAUAAACUGUGAACCUUGCCAUUGUCAAAGGAUGUGGAAUUGUGGGAAAUACAAAAUACAUUGCUUACAAUUCUCUGACUGAUGAAGGACAUGCACUCAGAUGUCUUCAGAAUCAGAGAAUUAUGGAUGGUUGGAACUUGGGGGAGCCCUUGGAUUGUAUCUAUUUCAGCUUCCUCAUUUUUAAAGCUUGAUAAUCUGGGGGUCGGAAAGGGGAAAAUAGUUUGCCUAAGGUAAGAGUUCAAAUUACUGAUAGAGCUUAUAGCUGUGACUUCUAACCCAAAUAUUUUUCUUCUCUUGUGUUUUCAUAUGCGCUAAAAGUUUCACAUAGUUGUGUCCACUUUAGGAAACCCGGAAUUCAUUUAUUGCAUAUGAUGAAGUCAAGGUUGCUAAGUGAUAUACCAAGGAUACUCAAUUUUGUCCCUUUCCAGAAGGAACUACUAAGAUUAUGGUGAGCUGUAGGUUUCAGAUGUAUAUAAAACAAUAUAACAAUAUUAGGCCUUUCAUCUAGACUACAGUUUAUCAGCAGUUUCCUUUCUAGGACUCAGUCAUAGCUAUAGGCCCUACAGGGACUCUUCUGCAGUGCCUUCGCCUCCAGAUAUAUCCAAAGUUGUUUCUAGUGCAUCCUUAAAUUGCAGUGACUCAUAGCAACAAUUGUUUACUGAGCCCUCCUGACUGGCCAUGGGAUGACAGUAGUUAACAACAGGUCAGACAUGGUCUCUGUUGUCAUGGAGCUUAUGCCAAAGUGGCGAAUGACAGCCACUAAGCAUGUCUAUUACAAGUAUAAUUAAUUUAACAAGGAAGACAAAUUAGUCCUUCAUGUGUUCCAGAAGGCAAGGCCCCUAGUGUGGUUGGUCUGGUGGAGCUGAACUGCAAAACUGUGUGGAGAUGCUUAUGUGCUAGACACCAAUUGUUUUAUCCCUCCAGUGUAUCCCCUUUUUUCCUCUUAAGUCCAUGAUUUCUGAAGGAGUUGCUGUGUCUUACAUCAGUGCUUUUCAAACUACUUAAAAAUUUAAAUUUCUAAUCUGUCACAAAUUGACAUCCUGACAAAAUACAAAAUCACCUGCUUGAGUGUCACAGGCAUGUCAAAUUGUUAUAAAUGUUUAGAAAUAUUUAUUCUUGAUUUCGGUACCAGAACUCUUCAGGUGGGUAACACAUAGUUUGUGGGCCAGCUUGGUACACAGGCCCUACCUACUUUGAGUAGUAAUAUUGACCUUGAUCUUUCAGGCCCAGACUUUAUACCUGGUGCCCUUGACCAUGGCAAAUUAAUCCAGCAUGGGCAUCUGAGUCAAACUGGGCAGAUGAGACCCUUAUACAGAAUGUUUGUGCUGGACACAGAGAGCAUCAGGCCAGUCUCUCUCCAGGGGCUGAAAGUGUAAGAUGCUGUCCUUGGGAGUCCGUGGUUUCCUUCAGGUGGUGAGCUGCUGUAUAAUGGCAAGCAGAUGAAACCCAACAGUGAGGUAGAGAGCCCUGACAGUGUUUGAGCUCCUGACUCCAGCUUUUCCUAUGGUCCACAUACAUUCCUUCCUUAGGUUUCAGGUGCUAUCCCAGCACCAUUAUUAUUAUUAUUAUUUUUAAAUCCCUACCUGUUUGAACUAAUUCAGGUUGGGGUUCUGUUACUUGAAAUCAAGUGGUUCUAACUUAUGGAAGAUGGUUUCAUCAGUGUCUAGACAUGCUAACCUUUAAAGUCUUAUUGUUUUUGGAGAGUUUCCACCCCUCCAGGUUCGAAGUCAUGACCAGAGUGCUGCUGAAGCCCCUUGCAGAUGUGAGGGGACCUCUCAUGCCAAGUCUUAUGGCUGCAAAGACAUCGCAUUCCACAGUGUGGUGUCAGAGAAGAGCAGUCCUGGGAGAGAACUCUCUCCAGUCACCUUGGGAAGAUUUCCCUCUCCUACAACAGCUAACAUCAGUGGAGCUGCCAGCAUAUUCACUCUAAGGACACAACAAAAGGCACUAUCUUUGAAGAGCGUGAACCCUUACCAGAUGGAAUCUGCUGACACCUUGAUCUUGGACUUCCCAGCCUCCAGAACUGUGAGAAUAAAUUUCUGUUGUUUAUACAUUA